rnacentral:siRNA from 1 species
GGAGGACCAAUAAAACAAAACAAG